AGAGUUGAUAUUUCAUAAUGUAGGCUUUAAAUUAUUUGUCAACUUGAUUGUAUUUGCAAUUUUCAAAUAACUUUCAGUUUUGUUACAACACGAAGGUAAAGGAUUUGAUUGCUUUGCAUUUGCCGCCUGAUACAGGCGAUUGUAUAGCAUCUAGCGGAGAAAUUCUUUACUGCCUAUCGGCCAUUGCCAUUCAUCGUCUGCUACUGAACUUCUUCAUUUCUCACGUGUUCGGAUUGGAGACGGUCGCCUGUUCGCCAUUUUCCUGGAAUUUGGAAAUUCCUUGUCUAAUUUCCUGACUUCAGAAUUGGUGAGGUGUUAAAUGAUGGUGAGGUGUUAAGAGAUCUGCCAUAUUGACCAGGACUCGUGUUCAUCACCAAAUUAUAUCGUGUAGUAAAUAACCUAUGUUUAGUGAACACAAAGAUUCCAAGUCUGAUUCCUUUUUCUAAGUUGAGACAUAAAAAUUGUUGUAAAAGAUUUUCUUUUUUGAGUUAGGAUUCAUUUUUGACAGGAAAAUAAAAAAAAGUUUUUUUUGGGGGGGGGGAAGGACUUGGAGGUACUUUGGAUUCUUUAAUUUUAUUUCUGAGGGUGGGCGAGGUGGCAAGAUUCAAAGUUAACUGUAAAUUCCUUGACCCUUGUUCUGUGGCGUUGGGGGACAGCGUCAUUUUGAGGUGAUAGAAUUUUCGAGUAUUGUACAUUUCUUUUGUUCAUGUUCCUUUUUUGACUCUUUUAAAGGUUUCAGCCAUGUCAAGCGAUUUCGUAAUGAAAGUUCUCAAUUAGAUAUUGUUUUUUAUUAGCUUGACUUUACUUCUCCCCGAGAUUAGUUGUUCCUGACUAGUAAUUGCUAUUUUCCGUAUCAACUUCUUCCUAAUAGUAAUUGCCACAAUCUUCUCCUGACUGAAUGUCUUGGAUGCAGUUUUAUCACGGCCAUGUUUACAGUUUGACUGAUCGGCGAUUUCACGUAGUCAUACAAUUAACACAGAUUGGGAUAAA